AACCUACCUUAUACUGGAAGAUAGCCCGAAGAAAUUCGGAUUAAUACUCCAUAGCAUUAUUUGAGAGCAUUCUUAGAUAAUUAAAGCUCCGGCGGUAUAAGAUGGGCAUGCGUCCUAUUAGCUAGAUGGUAAGGUAACGGCUUACCAUGGCUACGAUAGGUAGGGGGCCUGAGAGGUGGUCCCCCACACUGGUACUGAGACACGGACCAGACUCCUACGGGAGGCAGCAGUGAGGGAAUAUUGGUCAAUGGGCGCAAGCCUGAACCAGCCAUGCCGCGUGAAGGAUGAAGGUUCUAUGGAUUGUAAACUUCUUUUAUUUGGGAAUAAACCUCGAGACGUGUCUCGAGCUGAAGGUACCAAACGAAUAAGCACCGGCUAACUCCGUG
rnacentral:rRNA from 1 species